AGAAUCAACGCUGGCGGCGUGCCUAACACAUGCAAGUCGAACGAGAAAGGGUAGCAAUACCUGAGUAAAGUGGCGCACGGGUGAGUAACACGUGACUAACCUACCCUAGAGUGGGGGAUAACUGAGGGAAACCUUAGCUAAAUACCGCAUAAUACCCACGGGUCAAAGGAGCAAUUCGCUUUAGGAGGGGGUCGCGGUCGAUUAGUUAGUUGGCGGGGUAAUGGCCCACCAAGACUUUGAUCGAUAUCC
rnacentral:rRNA from 1 species